GUCUAGUCCAAGUAUAGUGUGCAGUUUACAAUCAACUGAUCACAACCAGUCAUACAUUUCUUUCUUCCUUCUCUACUCCCACUGCUUCAUUUGACUGGUCUUCA
rnacentral:Y_RNA from 1 species